rnacentral:rRNA from 1 species
GGAAAACUUACCAGGUCCAGACGUAGUUAGGAUUGACAGGUUGAAGACCUUUCUUGAUUCUACGGGUGGUGGUGCAUGGCCGUUCUUAGUUGGUGGAGUGAUUUGUCUGGUUAAUUCCGUUAACGAACGAGACCUCGACCUGCUAAAUAGUUCGACGUAUCUCCGGAUACGGCUUGUGACUUCUUAGAGGGACUAUCAGGAGAGUAUCCGAUGGAAGUUCGAGGCAAUAA